rnacentral:rRNA from 1 species
GAUGAACGCUGGCGGCGUGCUUAACACAUGCAAGUCGAACGAAGCACCUUGAUUUGAUUCUUCGGAUGAAGAUCUUGGUGACUGAGUGGCGGACGGGUGAGUAACGCGUGGGUAACCUGCCUCAUACAGGGGGAUAACAGUUAGAAAUGACUGCUAAUACCGCAUAAGACCACAGUACCGCAUGGUACAGGGGUAAAAACUCCGGUGGUAUGAGAUGGACCCGCGUCUGAUUAGGUAGUUGGUGGGGUAACGGCCUACCAAGCCGACGAUCAGUAGCCGACCUGAGAGGGUGACCGGCCACAUUGGGACUGAGACACGGCCCAAACUCCUACGGGAGGCAGCAGUGGGGAAUAUUGCACAAUGGGGGAAACCCUGAUGCAGCGACGCCGCGUGAGCGAUGAAGUAUUUCGGUAUGUAAAGCUCUAUCAGCAGGGAAGAAAAUGACGGUACCUGACUAAGAAGCACCGGCUAAAUACGUGCCAGCAGCCGCGGUAAUACGUAUGGUGCAAGCGUUAUCCGGAUUUACUGGGUGUAAAGGGAGCGUAGACGGAGUGGCAAGUCUGAUGUGAAAACCCGGGGCUCAACCCCGGGACUGCAUUGGAAACUGUCAAUCUAGAGUACCGGAGAGGUAAGCGGAAUUCCUAGUGUAGCGGUGAAAUGCGUAGAUAUUAGGAGGAACACCAGUGGCGAAGGCGGCUUACUGGACGGUAACUGACGUUGAGGCUCGAAAGCGUGGGGAGCAAACAGG